AAAAAAAAAAAAAAAAAAAAAAACAAAAAAAAAAAAAAAAAGAAAGAAACGAACUGUUGCAACGAGUGUCCCGGAAAUUUUGGUUGACAUUUUUUUCCGGACACGCGCAAAGUGAGUUUCACGGUGCUUCGUGGGGGCUUCUUCCGUUUCGUUUCCGUUUUGUCUCCUUGCACACUUUCUUCUUCUUCUAGUGGUCGACGCGUAAACGAGAUGUUCUUCGAAAAGCUACCGCCGCUUUUCGCAUUUUUUAACAAAAUACACAAAGUUCGCACGGUCAUAUAUAUAAAUAUAUAUAUAUAUAUACAUAACGAAUAUGAGAUGGAUCACAGAAUGGUGUUAUCUAGGUGUGUGUUCAAUCGUCUGUGUUCCGUGAACAGACACGAACCCUUUUUUUCGAAAGGUUUACCCUGACGAACGAAAUAAGUUGUUUGGUCGUGUUCUUCCGUUCCCUUUUCUUCGUCUAGUUUGCUUUCUCGAAAAAUACUUGUUUUGAAAGAGGACAUCAAAAAAGUAAAAUAAAAUAAAUAAAUAUAUAAAUCGAGUCCGUUUUCUUGGACUUUCCCAAAAGAGUAAAUGAAAUUUACUUAAAGAAUCUUUCGAUGGAUCAUUCCGUUUGUCAUUUCUCUCGUAUUAUCCUUGAUCGUUUCUUCUUUGUUGUUUUCAAAAAAUUGUGUCACGGUAUCGAGGAAAAACGACUUGGUCGAUUAUAGAUGGAAACUGGUCGAGUCUCGUGAUCCAUGUGUGUUUAAAUAAUUUAUAUUUUGCCGGAGAUAUAUAAUACUUGGUUUAGAACAGGGGGGAAGAUAGAACAAUUCCUUUUCACGUAUAUUUCAAUGCGUUUAAAUGUAAAUCGAGAGACGGAAAGACUGUCGGUAAAUCAAUUGCUCAUACCGGAAACGCGAUAUAUAAAUUAUUUAAAAAAUAGUGGCAACGAGAGAGAAGAUAAUCGUCGUACGAGCUCUGUAUAGAAUCAAAGAUCUUAAAUGCACGUUACUCCGGAACGGGUCAACCCUCUUGAUCGCGUCUUGGAUCCCGCCAGUAUUAUACGCCUCUCCAAUACAUCCUCCAUCCGAGAUAUAGAAAUCAGCGUUAAGAUAUCGUACAAAAGAAAAAAAAAAAAAAAUAUAUCACGCGAUUAUAAUUCGUUAAGUGAAUUUAAUAAAGAUAAAUUCAGCAUGAAAGAAAUAAAAUAGAAAAUAUUGAUAUUUUCGCGUGCUGGAUCGAUAUCUAAAAAAACUAAUCGAAUCUCUCUUAUCGACACACACUCUGUACUAUGGAUAGAAUUUUAAAGAAAAAAAAAGAAAAAAAAAAACGGAAAAAAAAACGGAAAAAAAAAAGAAAAAAAAACCAGACGACAAUCAAAGGUUUGAUCUUUGACCGCGUAUCAUAAUCGAUCGCGUGUUUCCGCGAGGGCAUCGAUCAUCGCACAAGAGCGCACAUUGUGAAAAAUAGCGAGUGGAAGCGUGUAAUAGGAUGGUUAAACGCGAACAGAGGAAAUUAGUGGUAAAGUUUAAGGCAGCUUUUAAGUUUCGAAAGGUAGAGGGGGAGAAGACGAUUUUUAAAACAAAGAGAGAGAGAAAGAGAGAGAAUGUAAGAGAGAGAAAGAGAGAGAAAGAGAGAAUGAAACAAAGGCACUUUGUUGCAGCCGUGAUAACGCUCGUCGAUCGAGAAUAAGAUCAAGUUUGACUAAUUGUGAUGAUAAUCUCGGACGAAGUUAUUUAUUUUGAGGAUAAGGGGAGAGCUAGUGAGAUAAAAACUUAAGGGUGCUUUGAAAUGUUUCAAACGUUAAACGCGAAUGUUUUUAAUCACGAUUUGAUGAUCGAUGAUGUUUAAGAAACGAUCAGUUGAUUCCUAGAAAGUAAAUUUUGAGAGCUACAUAUAAUUAAACACUUCGCGGGCAAACAAGCGCUAAAUAUUGAAUAUACGUAUGACUAUAAAAAUACAAGAUUCGUAUCAUCUUGAAAAAUUUAAAGAACUGUCACCGAAGUGUUAUGUCAUAUCCGCCCAAAAACCCGUCAAUCCAAUCAGAAAGUAAUAUCGUCGUACAUGUUGAAAAAUUUGAGAAAUAAGUACUUUAAGAUACUUUCUGAACUCAUCGUUUCUUCGAUCGAUGAAUCAAA